AGAACUUUCUCAAAUUACUAGAGCACUUAAAAAUCUUGCUAAAGAAUUCCAAAUACCAAUUAUU
rnacentral:tRNA from 1 species